CACAGCGCGGGCGCAGGCGCGGGGCGGUGCACAGCGCGGGCGCAGGCGCCGAGAGGCGCACGGGAGACCUCAGGCCCAGACUCCACUCCCCAGCUGUGAAAGGACUGCUGGCCAGACCCCCAAGCUAGCCCGCCAGGCCUCCAUAGAGCUGCCCAGCAUGGCUGCGUCCAGUACCAAGAGUUGGUGGGAGACGGGUGAGGUACAGGCUCAGUCUGCGGCCAAGACUCCGUCCUGCAAGGAUAUUGUGGCUGGAGACAUGAGCAAGAAAAGCCUCUGGGAGCAGAAGGGAGGCUCCAAGACCUCAUCAACAAUUAAGGAAGGAGUGAUUGGCUGCUGGUCCUGCCCUGUCCGAGGAGGAGGACGGAACCCACCCACCAAGCUGUGGAGAGGUGGACCCCACAAAUCCCCUCGCAAGCCACGUCUGAGAGCGAGCAGAGGGAAGAAACUCAAGCGUUUGUAGUCCUCUUUCUUAACAACAAGGCUUAAAGCGCCAUCUUGUGUCUUGAAGGCAGAAGGAGGUCAGGAUGUGUGUGCUAGAAGCAGGCAGAGGAUCUUCACCAAUGUCUCAAAAACUAGAGAAGGAAACAUGGCGAUCCUCAAGGCCCGCGGCGCCCCAGCCCUUCCCGCACCCUGCGAUAGUCUGGUGUUGGGAGGGUGGCCCACGUGUCCAAGCAACCACAUCAGGGAGGUUCUGGGAGAGGAGAAGGCAAAGCUCCUGCCCUCAUGAGGCAGGCAGUCCCAUCCAGGACUGGACUGGAUGAGCACCAAUAAAUAAGAAAACACAGCUGGCAGCUGACUGUGAAGGGUCUGGACAGGGUGCCGAAGUG
rnacentral:lncRNA from 1 species